ensembl:lncRNA
CCUCUUUCGCUCCAGAAAUCCCAUGCACAGUGAGCUUCAAAUUGAGGGGGUCUCAGGAAUGGUGAUGAACCACCUCACUAAAUUUUCCAUAUUGGAAAACCUGCUGUAGUUGCUAAGGGAGCUUAUCUGAACCAUGUGCCAGUAUCACAAGACUGUUUGGACUUUUUUUUUUUUGUUUGUGUGUUCUUUUUUUUUUAUUUGUACAGUGUAUGUGAUAUGAACAAUUUAAGGUCAACAAACCCCUGUUGAGUGCAGUGGAAUAACAAAGCUGAAUUUCCCAUUGAGCAGGCACACUGGAACGAGGAGGUGGAAGGAAUAGAAAACAUAGCAGAAAAAUCACAAAAGGAUGGCUUCACAGUAAUCAGUGGUAACGGCUACAGUGCAGCAUAAAUGCCACCAAAUAGUUUGUGGAGCAAGCUGACAUUUUAAGAGUUUGAGAAUGUAUGAGGAAAAAUGCAUCACCUUUCACCAGCUGAAGGAGUAUGUAGCUCCACUUCUGAAGCAUUACCCUUUUGACCUUGAAACUGCUGUAAAACUCCCCUGAGGAUAAACAAGACUGAAGAAAAGAAUCAGCCAUGGCAUACUUUGGGAGAAUGCCUUUCUCACGAGAUGAAGUUCAUGAAGGGCAGGCUGAGGGCCAAGCAGCUUAUUCAAUGUACCAUUCUGAUUCUGCUGGACAGGUCAGUCUAGGAUUUGAUCAAAUAGCUGAUGAAGUCAGGAAUGAAUUUUUUUUUUAUGGUUCAUCACAUAUGCAUCAGCCUGAAGAAAAUUUUUUCGUGUCAGACAUCUUUGGUUUGAAUGUGCCAGAGAAGCAGUUAUGUGGUCAACCUCCAGUCACUUGUGGUGAACUUUACCUUAGACAUCCUUCAUCUCACUGGUACCAAGGCGCUGCGUCACCCGGGAUUGGCUUCAGAUCUUCCUUACUGUCUGAUUACAGAAAUUUCUCUGUGGUGGAUUCCUACCCAUAUAGUGAAGAAAGAGAAAACUACAGAAGGAAUAGCGUAAUUCCAGUCGCAAACAUAUUUGAUUCAAAUGUGAAGAGAGGCAACAAAAAUCUGAAUUUUCGGGUAGGCUUUGACAAUGUAGAUGCUCAAUAUCCCAUCGUUUUAGACAACUAUCCAUUCGGACAAGGAGUAAGAGACGAAAGUGGAAAUGGAGAAGCUCUUUCAACCAACACUUCAGGAAGAUUCAGCGUAGGACCUACCUGGCCCAGUGGCUCUGGACAGGACAGAGAGGCUGCAGGUUGGUCUAUCCAACUGGUUGAAGCGAAGCAAGGGAGUAAUGAAAACGCAGUUGCUUUUUGCAAUGCAGUGGGGAAAAUAAGAAAUGCCUAUCCUGCUUCUGACUUAAAGACAAAUACUGGGAAAAUCUGGAGUAUCACAACAAGGUUCCCAGACCAUAUCCUUGGUAAAUCAAAAUUCAGAAUCAGCGUUUGGACAAAUUCUUCACCAUAUCCACUGCUUCUUACACAAAGUGCUGGCUGUAUCACUCAUGACUUAAUUGUAGAGAUCCUCAGUUGCACAAAUCAAUACCCAGUCCAGGAGGAAUGUUUUCUAAGUGUUUGCGGGUCUGAUGAAUUCUUACAAAAAAUCUCUGCACGUCUCAUUAGCAGUGAAACAAGAUCAAGCUUCUCAUUCAGAGAUGCUGCUUAGCUGCGCCCCUUUUUAAAAAUAAAUCUGGUGGAACUGCAUUAGGAUUCGGAGCUUAUAGCACAUCAGAGAAUGUUGCUGUGGGGGAUUCAAGGGCCGGGGGGUUUUUCUCUUCCCCUGCCACUGACAUUGUGGGACCACA